GCUGACGUAGCUCAGUCGGUAGAGCAGCGGUUUUGUAAACCGCUGGUCAGGGGUUCGACUCCCCUCGUCAGCU
rnacentral:tRNA from 1 species